GGGCGUAGGUGGACGGCUGACGGUGAACCUUUGGUUUGCUGAGGAAAGUCCUCUCUCAUUCUGGAUUGGGUAACCGUGCAAACGGUAAGGGUGAGAAUCCUUGCAGAGACGCAGAAACGACACAGCCCUCGAAUAAUGCGAUGAUUCAUUUGAUGAUGAGGUCUUUGAGGGAUUUGUUGAAACGGUCAAUCUGCUCCCGGAGCAAGUCCAAAUAUUGGGAUCAGUUAUCCAGACUGCCCAUAGGUAGGACGCAUAGUAGAAUGCCGUUUAAAACAAAAAGAGGCUUACGGCCUACACCC
rnacentral:RNase_P_RNA from 2 species